rnacentral:lncRNA from 1 species
GAAGGAAGCUGAAUGCCUUGAAGCAUCUGGCCUGAUGUCCUCAUGUUGUCAUAGCUCAUAGCUCAUCUUUCUUUGUGCCCUGGGCAGCUGAUCUGAAUAUAGAGUAUACAUGAACUUUGAAGGAAGCUGGUAGGAUGGAGUUGGGGCCUCACUGUUUUAAUCAAGAUGAAUUCAAAACCUUUGCUUAUCGAGUAGAAAACUUAAACCAGC